rnacentral:rRNA from 1 species
UCGGCAACGGAUAUCUCGGCUCUCGCAUCGAUGAAGAACGUAGCGAAAUGCGAUACUUGGUGUGAAUUGCAGAAUCCGUGAACCAUCGAGUCUUUGAACGCAAGUUGCGCCUGAAGCCUUUAGGCUGAAGGCAUGUCUGCCUGGGCGUCAC